CAUGGUCUCCAACUUGAGGCCUUUUCAGUUGCCAUUGGAAAAUUAGAUGCACACUUACCUAGACCUAAGCUUUAGUUUGUGGGUAGCUGCCGGAAUAAGGCAGAUGAAGAAAGAUUGCAACAUUUGAAAGAUAAAGCAGUUGAACUGAAGGUUGACGGGGACGUAGAAUUUCAUAAAAAUGUAUUAUACAAGUCUGUGCCAAGGAUUUCAUGUUCUGCAUCCUUUAAUGGACUUGGUGCAACUUCUGGGAGGGGCCAUCACAGGAAUCCAUUCAAUGACAGAUGAACAUUUUGGAAUAAGUGUUGUGGAGUAUAUGGCUGCAGGAGCCAUCCCAAUUGGGUUGGAUGAAGUGAUGGGGGAAGGCAGACAAUGGUGACAUACGGUGGUGAUAGGCGGCGGCGAGAUCGAGCUCUGGCGAGGUUGGAUGGUAAAUGCGGGGAUAUGGAAAAUGCAGAAAGUGAUUUAUAUUUUUUUUAUUUUUAAUAUCAUUCCUGUCGGUUUUAUCCGACA